UUGGUCAAAAGCAAAUCUGUCCAAGUCCUGUACGGGCUCUUCGUCUUCCACUGGGCUACUAAAGCUAAAUUGGGAGAGGGUUAUGUCUCUAUUCAUGGCCUAUAUUUGACUCAGUAGUGGUACUAAGUGUUCGAAUGGCACCAUGGCUAGGCAUUUCAAACACUGGAGCUGGAAAUUUUGGGAUUCACUUGCAAUAAUUGCAUAUUUUGUGAAACUCUUCGUUUGCUACACUAUAACUACCAAAGUGAAUGAAAUUCAAGUUUUGCAGGGGACU